rnacentral:rRNA from 1 species
AUACGUAGGGGGCGAGCGUUGUCCGGAAUUAUUGGGCGUAAAGCGCGCGCAGGCGGUCUUUUAAGUCUGGUGUUUAAGUGCGGGGCUCAACCCCGUGCCGCACUGGAAACUGGGGAACUUGAGUGCAGGAGAGGAAAGCGGAAUUCCACGUGUAGCGGUGAAAUGCGUAGAGAUGUGGAGGAACACCAGUGGCGAAGGCGGCUUUCUGGCCUGUAACUGACGCUGAGGCGCGAAAGCGUGGGGAGCAAACAGGAUUAGAUACCCUGGUAGUCCACGCCGUAAACGAUGAGUGCUAGGUGUCGGGUGGGUUAUCCUCUCGGUGCCGAAGUCAACACAUUAAGCACUCCGCCUGGGGAGUACGGUCGCAAGACUGAA